rnacentral:rRNA from 1 species
UGGGGGAUAUUGCACAAUGGGCGAAAGCCUGAUGCAGCGACGCCGCGUGGGGGAUGAAGGCUUUCGGGUUGUAAACCUCUUUCGCUAUCGAACAAGGCCCGCUUAGGGUGGGUUGAGGGUAGGUGGAGAAGAAGCGCCGGCUAACUACGUGCCAGCAGCCGCGGUAAUACGUAGGGCGCGAGCGUUGUCCGGAAUUAUUGGGCGUAAAGGGCUUGUAGGCGGCUUGUUGCGCCUGCUGUGAAAACGCGGGGCUUAACUUCGCGCGUGCAGUGGGUACGGGCAGGCUUGAGUGUGGUAGGGGUGACUGGAAAUCCAGGUGUAGCGGUGGAAUGCGCAGAUAUCUGGAGGAACACCGAUGGCGAAGGCAGGUCACUGGGCCAUUACUGACGCUGAGGAGCGAAAGCAUGGGUAGCGAACAGG